GAGUUUGAUUAUGGCUCAGGAUGAACGCUAGCGAUAGGCUUAACACAUGCAAGUCGAGGGGCAUCACGGGAUUAGCUUGCUAAUCUUGGUGGCGACCGGCGUAAGGGUGCGUAACGCGUAUGCAACUUGCCUGUCAGUGGGGAAUAACCCGGAGAAAUCCGGACUAAUACCGCAUACACUUUGGUUUCCGCAUGGGGACUUUAGGAAAGAUUUAUUGCUGACAGAUAGGCAUGCGUUCCAUUAGAUAGUUGGUGAGGUAACGGCUCACCAAGUCAACGAUGGAUAGGGGAGCUGAGAGGCUUAUCCCCCACACUGGAACUGAGACACGGUCCAGACUCCUACGGGAGGCAGCAGUGAGGAAUAUUGGUCAAUGGGCGAGAGCCUGAACCAGCCAAGUCGCGUGAAGGAAGACGGUCCUAUGGAUUGUAAACUUCUUUAGUAGGUGAGUACAAGCAGUUACGUGUAGCGUAGCAAGUACCUAGAAU
rnacentral:rRNA from 1 species